CGGGUGAGUAACACGUGGAUAACCUACCUAUAAGACUGGGAUAACUUCGGGAAACCGGAGCUAAUACCGGAUAANAUUUUGAACCGCAUGGUUCAAAAGUGAAAGACGGUCUUGCUGUCACUUAUAGAUGGAUCCGCGCUGCAUUAGCUAGUUGGUAAGGUAACGGCUUACCAAGGCAACGAUGCAUAGCCGACCUGAGAGGGUGAUCGGCCACACUGGAACUGAGACACGGUCCAGACUCCUACGGGAGGCAGCAGGC
rnacentral:rRNA from 1 species